CAGCCGCCGCGGUAAUACGUAGGUGGCAAGCGUUGUCCGGAAUUAUUGGGCGUAAAGGGCUCGCAGGCGGUUUCUUAAGUCUGAUGUGAAAGCCCCCGGCUCAACCGGGGAGGGUCAUUGGAAACUGGGAAACUUGAGUGCAGAAGAGGAGAGUGGAAUUCCACGUGUAGCGGUGAAAUGCGUAGAGAUGUGGAGGAACACCAGUGGCGAAGGCGACUCUCUGGUCUGUAACUGACGCUGAGGAGCGAAAGCGUGGGGAGCGAACAGGAUUAGAUACCCCUGUAGUCCUUGUCUCUUAUAU
rnacentral:rRNA from 1 species